rnacentral:rRNA from 1 species
AGAAUCAACGCUGGCGGCGUGCCUAACACAUGCAAGUCGCACGAGAAAGUGGAGCAAUCCAUUAGUAAAGUGGCGCACGGGUGAGUAACACGUGACUAACCUACCCUUGAGUGGGGGAUAACCUAGAGAAAUCUGGGCUAAUACCGCAUAAUACCUUCGGGUCAAAGGAGCAAUUCGCUUAAGGAGGGGGUCGCGGCCGAUUAGUUAGUUGGCGGGGUAAUGGCCCACCAAGACUAUGAUCGGUA